UCUGAUAAUCCAUUAUCUGAGCUCAUGCGGCAUGCAUUUAAAGUAAUUUUUUUGUGUGAAGCCCGUAAAAUCCUGCCUAUCAGGGAGG
rfam:Cordyceps confragosa RCEF 1005 scaffold_129, whole genome shotgun sequence.